GACAGAUGUUAGCUCAGGGCUAAUCUUCCUCAAAAAAAAGAAAAAUGUUGAAUCCUAACCCUCAGUACCUCAGAAUUUGACCUUAUUUGGAAGAAAUAAUUUCUUCACAGAGAUAAUCGAGUUAAAAUGAGGUCACUAGGGUGGGACCUAAUCCAAUAUGUCUGAUAUCCUGAAAGAAAGGGGAAAUUGGCACACAGAUACAUGUAGAGGGAAGAUGAUGUGAAGAGUCGCAGGGACAAGAUGGCCAACUACAAGCCCAGGAGAGGGGCCUGGAGCAGGUCUUUGCGCACAGCCCUGGGAAGGAAUCAACGCUAACAACACUUCUAUCUCAAACUUCCAGCCUCCAGAACUGGGAGACAAUAAAUUUCUGUUGCUAAGCCACACGAUUUACAGUACUUUGUUAUAACAACCCUAGCAAACUAACACAGUGCUUAACUCAUCAGUACUGUAAACGUCUUGACACUUAAAGCGAUGUGCCAAUCCUCAUGUGUUGAUAAGUGUUUCUGAACUGUCCCCUUUAUUCUUUAGUAUGCACGCAUGGAGAAAGCAUCAAAGAGAAGCUCUAGACCAUGCCGACUCAUUGAUGAAACUCCUCUGGGGAAGCUGGCUGGUGGAAAACCAAAAGGGAAAAGAGCAUCCUUGAAAGUCUGUCUUCAGUGGAGGAAAAGAAGUUAACGAGGAGCUUUCCACAGAGGGCAAAGGUGAGUGAUGGUAACGAAACUUACAAGGAACGGAAAGAAACUCACUGGCAAGAUGACGUGUUGGACUGUGCAAGCAUGAAAACAAACCAUCAGCGUUAGAACAAAGAUAGCAUGGUAUGUACACGAUGACGUCACAAACACACACACACUUGGCCCUCCAGGCAUCUUGAUGGGCACAGGAACACUGUCUUCAAGCACUUAUAUCGUUCUAUCACGAGUAGUCAUGGGAAUGAAAGGCCUGGCCUCACUUCAGUUCAGAGAACACUUGCUGUUCUGGGCUAAACUGGGAAACUGAUGAAAAAAAGAGACACCUGCCAGCAUACACACAAACAAGAGUAAAUUAUUUUUACAAGUCAUUG
rnacentral:lncRNA from 1 species